rnacentral:rRNA from 1 species
UACGAAGGGGGCUAGCGUUGUUCGGAAUCACUGGGCGUAAAGCGCAUGCAGGCGGAUCGCUAAGUCGGGGGUGAAAUCCCGAGGCUCAACCUCGGAACUGCCUUCGAUACUGGCGAUCUUGAGUCCGGGAGAGGUGAGUGGAACUCCGAGUGUAGAGGUGAAAUUCGUAGAUAUUCGGAAGAACACCAGUGGCGAAGGCGGCUCACUGGCCCGGUACUGACGCUGAGAUGCGAAGGCGUGGGGAGCAAACAGG